GACGAACGCUGGCGGCGUGCCUAAUACAUGCAAGUUGAGCGCUGAAGGUUGGUACUUGUACCGACUGGAUGAGCAGCGAACGGGUGAGUAACGCGUGGGGAAUCUGCCUUUGAGCGGGGGACAACAUUUGGAAACGAAUGCUAAUACCGCAUAAAAACUUUAAACACAAGUUUUAAGUUUGAAAGAUGCAAUUGCAUCACUCAAAGAUGAUCCCGCGUUGUAUUAGCUAGUUGGUGAGGUAAAGGCUCACCAAGGCGAUGAUACAUAGCCGACCUGAGAGGGUGAUCGGCCACAUUGGGACUGAGACACGGCCCAAACUCCUACGGGAGGCAGCAGUAGGGAAUCUUCGGCAAUGGACGAAAGUCUGACCGAGCAACGCCGCGUGAGUGAAGAAGGUUUUCGGAUCGUAAAACUCUGUUGGCAGGGAAGAACGUUGGUGAGAGUGGAAAGCUCAUCAAGUGACGGUAACUACCCAGAAAGGGACGGCUAACUACGUG
rnacentral:rRNA from 1 species